ensembl:lncRNA novel transcript
AGCCUUGCAGGGACGGUUGAGAAGUGGCAAAAUGGCGGACUUUCUCCCCCAACUGCUUGCAGUCCUGCGACUUGCUCCCAAGACAGCCACACGUUUUGCUUUUUUGUUCGAGAAAUCGGAGCAGCACGGGCUGUCUGCUUGGGAAAUCUUAGAAACGUGAAAACCCACUCUUGGAAAACGCCUCAAUCCCACACCACAGAGCUGCUCCCCGCCUGAGCCCCGGGGGCCGUUGGCUGCCAGUGGCCCACUCUGAUCUGCGGCCCCCCAGUUGCCGCCAGCCCCCCACGGCCCGCACGGAAAUUUUUCUACCGUUUUUCAGCUUCCAGGCUCUCCUGAAAGUGCUCACAAGGCAAAUCGCCAUGGAAAGCGAGUUCAAGUGGCCUUUUAAAGUAGACCAACUAAGCGAAUGGCUUUGUCUCCGAAGACACAGAGACCUUGGGCAGCCAGUCAGGGACACACCCAGAAGUGUUUACACUGCUCUGGGUCUGCUUUUUUAGGGGUUUUUGUUUUGCAGAUUCUGUGUUAUGCCUGGUUAGGUAUGAGCUUCAGACCUUCUGAACCGGAGCAGGAAGAAAAAUAAAAGCUUUCCUCCAAACCCCAAGACCAAACU